GACGAACGCUGGCGGCGUGCCUAAUACAUGCGAGUAGAGCGCUGAAGAGAGGAGCUUGCUCUUCUUGGAUGAGUUGCGAACGGGUGAGUAACGCGUAGGUAACCUGCCUGGUAGCGGGGGAUAACUAUUGGAAACGAUAGCUAAUACCGCAUAAUAGUAGAUGUUGCAUGACAUUUGCUUAAAAGGUGCAAUUGCAUCACUACCAGAUGGACCUGCGUUGUAUUAGCUAGUUGGUGAGGUAACGGCUCACCAAGGCAACGAUACAUAGCCGACCUGAGAGGGUGAUCGGCCACACUGGGACUGAGACACGGCCCAGACUCCUACGGGAGGCAGCAGUAGGGAAUCUUCGGCAAUGGACGGAAGUCUGACCGAGCAACGCCGCGUGAGUGAAGAAGGUUUUCGGAUCGUAAAGCUCUGUUGUAAGAGAAGAACGAGUGUGAGAGUGGAAAGUUCACACUGCGACGGUAUCUUACCAGAAAGGGACGGCUAACUACGUGC
rnacentral:rRNA from 1 species